rnacentral:rRNA from 1 species
CAAUAGCGUAUAUUAAAGCUGUUGCGGUUAAAAAGCUCGUAGUUGGAUUUCUGUCAAGUACAACUGGUCCGCCCUCCGGGUGAGCACAUAGUUUGGUCUUGGCAUCUUGCUGGAAAUUGUUGCUGCACUUGGCUGUGUGGCGCAGUGUCCAGCACUUUCACUUUGAGGAAAUUGGAGUGUUUCAAGCAGGCACAUGCCUUUGGACACAGUAGCAUGGAAUAAUUAGAUUGGGCUUUUGCUCCAAUUUGUCGGUUUCUGGAGCUGAGGUGAGAAUUAAUGGGGAUUGUUGGGGGCAUCCGAAUUUAGCCGUCAGAGGUGAAAUUCUUGGAUCUGCUAAAGACGGACAACUGCGAAAGCGUCUGCCCAGGAUGUUUUCAUUGA